rnacentral:rRNA from 1 species
ACGAAGGAUGCAAGCGUUAUCCGGAUUCAUUGGGUUUAAAGGGAGCGUAGGUGGUCUGCUAAGUCAGUGGUGAAAUCCUAUCGCUUAACGAUAGAAUUGCCAUUGAUACUGGCGGACUUGAGUGUAGUUGCCGUUGGCGGAAUAUGACAUGUAGUGGUGAAAUACAUAGAGAUGUCAUAGAACACCGAUUGCGAAGGCAGCUAACGAAACUAUAACUGACACUGAGGCUCGAAAGUGUGGGGAUCAAACAGGA